UCUAGCUAUCAAACUAUUGAAACAGUGGUC
rnacentral:piRNA from 1 species